rnacentral:rRNA from 1 species
UACGGAGGGUGCAAGCGUUAUCCGGAUUCACUGGGUUUAAAGGGUGCGUAGGCGGGUUGGUAAGUCCGUGGUGAAAUCUCCAAGCUUAACUUGGAAACUGCCGUGGAUACUAUCAAUCUUGAAUAUCGUGGAGGUAAGCGGAAUAUGUCAUGUAGCGGUGAAAUGCUUAGAUAUGACAUAGAACACCAAUUGCGAAGGCAGCUCACAAAGCCACUAUUGACGCUGAGGCACGAAAGCGUGGGGAUCAAACAGG